rnacentral:rRNA from 1 species
CGGGUCGCGUCCGUCGACGUCCGAGGACGGCGUGCACUUCUCUCUUAGUAAAUACAUCGCGACCCGUUCGAUGUCGGUCUAAGCGCCGUACGGGAGCCCCGUUGCCCCUUCGCGGGGGUAGUGGGACCGCGACGGUGGCCGACCGGCCGUCGGACGGUAGUUCUGACGAAUCGCGCACGCGUUCUACACGCGUCCGGCCCGACGCAAGUCAACGUCGUAUCAUACGUCUACGCCAUAGUGCGGACGUGUGUGCGGCGCGUCUGGUGUCGCAGCCGUGCUGUCUCGGACUGUGCGC